GAUGAACGCUGGCGGGGUGCCUAAUACAUGCAAGUCGAGCGAACAGACGAGGAGCUUGCUCCUCUGACGUUAGCGGCGGACGGGUGAGUAACACGUGGAUAACCUACCUAUAAGACUGGGAUAACUUCGGGAAACCGGAGCUAAUACCGGAUAAUAUAUUGAACCGCAUGGUUCAAUAGUGAAAGACGGUUUUGCUGUCACUUAUAGAUGGAUCCGCGCCGCAUUAGCUAGUUGGUAAGGUAACGGCUUACCAAGGCAACGAUGCGUAGCCGACCUGAGAGGGUGAUCGGCCACACUGGAACUGAGACACGGUCCAGACUCCUACGGGGGGCAGCAGUAGGGAAUCUUCCGCAAUGGGCGAAAGCCUGACGGAGCAACGCCGCGUGAGUGAUGAAGGUCUUCGGAUCGUAAAACUCUGUUAUUAGGGAAGAACAAAUGUGAAAGUAACUAUGCACGUCUUGACGGUACCUAAUCAGAAAGCCACGGCUAACUACGUG
rnacentral:rRNA from 1 species